UACGUAGGGUGCAAGCGUUGUCCGGAAUUAUUGGGCGUAAAGAGCUCGUAGGCGGUUCGUCGCGUCGGCUGUGAAAUCCCGAGGCUCAACCUCGGAACUGCCUUUCAUACUGGCUGUCUUGAGUUCGGAAGAGGUGAGUGGAAUUCCAAGUGUAGAGGUGAAAUUCGUAGAUAUUUGGAAGAACACCGGUGGCGAAGGCGGCUCACUGGUCCGAUACUGACACUGAGGUGCGAAAGCGUGGGGAGCAAACAGG
rnacentral:rRNA from 1 species